UUUUAAAAAGAGGAAAAAAAAGGGGGACCCAGAGAACUACAGGCUAGUCAGUCUCACCUCUAUACCUGGCAAGAUCAUGGAGAAGAUUCUCCUGGAAACUAUGCUAAGGCACAUUGAAAAUAAAGAAGUGAUUGGUGACAGCCAACAUG